rnacentral:lncRNA from 1 species
UGGUCCCUGUGGCCUUACAUAUUUGUAGGUGGAGCUAAUUAUCUGUUUAAAUACUUUAAUGCUAUGGUAAAUAAUUUAUAUUAUGCAUAUUGUAAAUAUAUACUAAAGCUCAAGGGCACAUUGUAAUAAUAACCAAACAUUUUCUAGACUUCUGCAAGUACCACUAUAAGCCUGUUUAUACAGAUAACCAAAAUAGUUGCUCCAAGAAUGAACACCAUAAAUUUAAAUGAAAGCGAAGGUUACACCUCAGAAGAGCACACAGGACAGCUGCCAGGGACGGCAAGUCUGGACCGCCUUUUGCAGCAUCUGUUGGGAGUCGACAAACUGCCUGGUGAUGUGCAGCCUGGAUCUUACUGAUGAACUCCAGUGCCAGCUCCUGGCCGCCGGGAAAUUGGUUUCUAGGUCUCCUGGGCUGGUGCCGAGAAGAACACAGAACAUUCUUGGAACAGGAGAAGGCACAUAGUUUUGGAUGUGCUCGGCCGUACCAAAGAGACUUAUGGAAACCUGAGCUUUCUUUCCCUCCUUGCAGAGCAUCAGUCUUGUGAUCUGAGCCGAAACUGUGUUUCUUCAUUUUCCACAGGCCUGGACUGGAACACACACACACACACACACACACACACACUCACAUUUCUGUUGAGACUUCCUGCUAACAUAAACUGCUUCGUUUUCGAAGAAUAAUAAUGAUUAAAAAAAAAAACCUACUCUCUGAGCUACUUUACAGUAGAAACAUGUCGUCAACCAGAAUGGCCUCUUUUGUUGCAGGGCCUCUUUCCUCCAAGCCAAUCACUUCUGUUUCUCAUGAAUGCACUUUCUUCUUUUGCUUCAAAUGAAAGCCGACCUAUUGCUGCUCUUCACUGAUCAGAGUCAUCACACUGGCUUUUCAUCUGCAUUCAGACAGAUUCCACUGAUGAGUCUGGGGAGACUAGUUUUGUUUAUGAAACCAGAAUCCAAAAGUGCCUGUAGAAUAUUCACAGAUUUUUUUUCAGUAUUCACAUAUGGGGGGUGACCAAUGAAUGAGGAAGGCAGAUUUAUCAAGGGGAUAAUUUUUUUUAUUAUUUUUUAAAUUUUAUUUUUUGGAGUUCCCAUCAUGGCACAGCGGAAAUGAAUCCAACUAGGAACCCUGAGGUUGUGGGUUCGAGCCCUGGCCUUGCUCAGUGGGUUAAGGAUCUGGCAUUGCACUGAGCUGUGGUGUAGGUCACAGGAACCUCCAUAUGCCACAGGUGUGGCCCUAAAAAGCAAAAAAAAAAAAAAAAAAAGUAAUCACAGUUAUGAGAGAAGAACAAGCUGGAGGGUGGGCACACCCUCCUUCCUCCUUCCUUCCCUCCCUCUCUCUCUCUCUCUCUCUCCCUUUUUUUUUUUUGUCUUUUGAGGGCCGCCCCCAUGGCAUAUGGAGGUUCCCAGGAUAGGGGUCGAAUUGGAGCUGUAGUUGCCAGCCUACACCACAGCCACAGCAACCCCACAUG